CAGCAGCCGCGGGAAUACGUAGGUCCCGAGCGUUGUCCGGAUUUAUUGGGCGUAAAGCGAGCGCAGGCGGUUAGAUAAGUCUGAAGUUGAAGGCUGUGGCUUAACCAUAGUACGCUUUGGAAACUGUUUAACUUGAGUGCAAGAGGGGGGAGUGGAAUUCCAUGUGUAGCGGUGAAAUGCGUAGAUAUAUGGAGGAACACCGGUGGCGAAAGCGGCUCUCUGGCUUGUAACUGACGCUGAGGCUCGAAAGCGUGGGGAGCAAACAGGAUUAGAUACCCCGGUAGUCCCUGUCUCUUAUACA
rnacentral:rRNA from 1 species